rnacentral:rRNA from 1 species
CCUACGGGCUGCAGCAGUGAGGAAUAUUGGUCAAUGGACGAGCGUCUGAACCAGCCAAGUAGCGUGAAGGAUGACUGCCCUAUGGGUUGUACACUUCUUUUAUAUGGGAAUAAAACGUUCCACGUGUGGGAUUUUGUAUGUACCAUAUGAAUACGGAUCGGCUAACUCCGUGCCAACAGCCGCGGUAAUACGGAGGAUCCGAGCGUUAUCCGGAUUUCUUGGGUUUAAAGGUAGCGUAGGUUGAUUGUUAAGGCAGUUGUGAAAGUUUGCGGCUCAACCGUAAAAUUGCAGUUGAAACUGGCAGUCUUGAGUACAGUAGAGGUGGGCGGAAUUCGUGGUGUAGCGGUGAAAUGCUUAGAUAUCACGAAGAACUCCGAUUGCGAAGGCAGUUCACUGGACUGUAACUGACACUGAGGCUCGAAAGUGUGGGUAUCAAACAGGAUUAGAUACCCUUGUAGUC